GUCCUACGGGGGGCAGCAGUAGGGAAUUUUCGUCAAUGGGCGCAAGCCUGAACGAGCAAUGCCGCGUGAACGAGGAAGGUCUUCGGAUCGUAAAGUUCUGUUGAAGGGGAAAAAGAGCGGAGAGAGGAAAUGCUUUCUGAUUGAUAUUACCCUUCGAGGAAGUCACGGCUAACUCCGUGCCAGCAGCCGCGGUAAUACGGAGGAUGCGAGCGUUAUCCGGAUUUAUUGGGUUUAAAGGGUGCGCAGGCGGAGGUGCAAGUCAGCGGUCAAAUUGCGGGGCUCAACCCCGUACUGCCGUUGAAACU
rnacentral:rRNA from 1 species